rnacentral:rRNA from 1 species
CCUACGGGAGGCAGCAGUGAGGAAUAUUGGUCAAUGGACGAGAGCCUGAACCAGCCAAGUAGCGUGAAGGAUGACUGCCCUAUGGGUUGUAAACUUCUUUUAUAUGGGAAUAAAAUGUUCCACGUGUGGGAUUUUGUAUGUAUCAUAUGAAUAAGGAUCGGCUAACUCCGUGCCAGCAGCCGCGGUAAUACGGAGGAUCCGAGCGUUAUCCGGAUUUAUUGGGUUUAAAGGGAGCGUAGGUGGAUUGUUAAGUCAGUUGUGAAAGUUUGCGGCUCAACCGUAAAAUUGCAGUUGAAACUGGCAGUCUUGAGUACAGUAGAGGUGGGCGGAAUUCGUGGUGUAGCGGUGAAAUGCUUAGAUAUCACGAAGAACUCCGAUUGCGAAGGCAGCUCACUGGACUGCAACUGACACUGAGGCUCGAAAGUGUGGGUAUCAAACAGGAUUAGAUACCCGUGUAGUC